rnacentral:tRNA from 1 species
GAAGAUAUAGCUCAGUGGUAGAGUGCAAGCUUAGCAUGCACAAGAUCCUGGGUUCAAUCCCCAGUACCUCCA